rnacentral:rRNA from 1 species
UACGGAGGGUGCAAGCGUUAUCCGGAUUCACUGGGUUUAAAGGGUGCGUAGGUGGUCUGUUAAGUCAGCGGUGAAAGCCUGGAGCUCAACUCCAGAAUUGCCAUUGAUACUGACGGACUUGAAUCAAGUUGAGGUGGAUGGAAUAUUACAUGUAGCGGUGAAAUGCUUAGAUAUGUAAUAGAACACCAAUUGCGAAGGCAGUUCACUAAGCUUGCAUUGACACUGAGGCACGAAAGCGUGGGGAUCAAACAGGA